ensembl:lncRNA
GAAAUUCUGUAAUCCUAGUAAUCAAUCGCUCCCUGCAACUUGUGAAGGUCUUGUCUAUAAGGCAUCUAGAAGUGACGUUGACCGGGUUUCAGCGACGGAGCUGGUCUCAUCAGGAAGAUGCUGGCUAAGAAGGUAAGACUAGUUCAUACUGUCACUUUAUUAGUUGGCUGUUUCUGUAUACACUUGUUCUCAUUGAAGUUGGUUUACAUCUUCCUUCAGACUGGAGAGAUGUGCACAUGCUGAUGGCUACACGGGGACGUGACUCCGGACCGGGGUGAAGGAACCUCCGAGAACAGCUUCCUCUGGAUCAGAGGUCUCUCAAGGUCACCAGGAAGCUCGUCUACCAGCGUGCCGUGGUGUACCACAAGACUGCUCAGACGUGAAGUCCGCCUAGCUCGCACUCCCCGCUGAGCCUAAGCUGGCCUUCAUCAUCAUGAUCCCAUGAUUCUCAAGAUGACCAGAGAAUCGUCUACAAACGUGCCGAGGUGUACCACAGGACUCAGUUCAGACGUGAAGUGAAGUUGAAGUUGGCCUUCUCGGGUCACGUGGACUGUCCAGCUGCUCCUCUCCCAUGAUGCACCAGUCGAUGCCGUCGACCAAUCGGGCCGCAAGGCCCUGAUGAUGGCGGCGAAGGGCAGAGUCGGCGUGCUUGAGGUGCUGUUGACCAGCACUGAGGCCAACCUGAGUCUGACGGAUAAAGACAGCAACACGGCCCUUAACCUGGCCUGCAGUAACGUCGGUCAGAGGAGAACGGCUUUGAGGGGGUGGCUCCUGGGGAGAUAGGGCGAACGUGGUCGUAGGGGGCGCGGCAGAGGACCUUCAACCCGGCGGACUAAACGGCUAAUUCUGGGGGUGUUGCAAGGAAACGUGGGACACUGACGGCAACGACGGUGCUGAGGGAACUAAGUUUCUCAAGGUCACCAGGAAGCUCGUCUACCAGCGUGCCGUGGUGUACCACAAGACUGCUCAGACGUGAAGUCCGCCUAGCUCGCACUCCCCGCUGAGCCUAAGCUGGCCUUCAUCAUCAUGAUCCCAUGUCUUUCAAGGUGACCAGGAAGCUCGUCUAGAAGCCUGCUGGGCGUACCAGGGGGUACAGGACUGAUCCACCUCCGCUAAGGCCACCCUGGCCGUGGUCAUUGGGGUCCGAGGGGAGGGAGUAACGUCUGCCAUGCCCCUACCGCCCUCAGUGGGAAACGUCCUGGUCCCCGCCGAGCCUUCGUCAGCAGGAUCCCAGGACUCUCAAGAUGACCAGAGAAUCGUCUACAAACGUGCCGAGGUGUACCACAGAGUACAGGACUCAGUUCAGACGUGAAGUUGGCCUUCAUCAGGAUCACAGGAAUGGCUGAAGACUGGCCAGAUCCUUCAACAGGCUCCCAGCUGGGCGAGCCCCAUGCAUCAUCAUCCUCUGGACUGCAUUUAGGGAAGCGACGGAAUCGUCUGCAUGAGGGCUCAUCAUGCUAGUGAGAUGUAGCUCACAGAUGCACUUCAGACGAGCAGGCCUACUCCAGCAGUACUCGUCCCCUACUCCUGUCCCAUUAUGGCUCCUAGUCGCAUGUUAAUGAUGCACUUGUUGUUCCCCAUCUUAUCGACUGGUGAAACCCAAGCUGAAAAUAAGACAAUUUAGUCUGAAACCACAUCCUGGACUUGAGUCUCAUUGAUUGUUAUUGUGAAUCCGGAUCCUGUUUCAAAAGCAAAACAUAUAAAUCACUUUAUAUGUUGUGACUAGUAUUUAUUUUUUUAUCCUAAAUGAUUUUUGCUCCCUUUCCGGUUAUGUGUGAUUUCAACUGAGAAAUAAAAACAACAAAAACUAA